ACUGAGUACGUAGUUUGAUCCGUGGCUCGAGGACGAACGCUGGCGGCAUGCCUAACACAUGCAAGUCGAACGGAGUACCUUCGGGGACUUAGUGGCGAACGGGUGAGUAACGCGUGAGAAACCUGCCUUUCAGUGGGGGACAACAGUUGGAAACGACUGCUAAUACCGCAUAAUGUUAUUAGGGGGCAUCCUCUGAUAACCAAAGAUUUAUUGCUGAAAGAUGGUCUCGCGUCUGAUUAGCUAGUUGGUGAGGUAACGGCUCACCAAGGCGACGAUCAGUAGCCGGUCUGAGAGGAUGAACGGCCACAUUGGGACUGAGAUACGGCCCAGACUCCUACGGGAGGCAGCAGUGGGGAAUAUUGGGCAAUGGGGGAAACCCUGACCCAGCAACGCCGCGUGAAGGAAGAAGGCCUUCGGGUUGUAAACUUCUUUUAGUAGGGACGAAUACGUGACGGUACCUACAGAAAAAGCAACGGCUAACUACGUG
rnacentral:rRNA from 1 species